CAGAACAAUGUGUAGGGGUUGGGGUGCUAAGGGAAGUAGCACAGAUCGGAAUCAAACCACAGGAAUGGUACUGAACGGAGCAGGUUGAGUGGUUUUCUUGGUAUUCUUUCUGGGAAGAAACACAAAUACAGCUCCAUCCUGGUAAAUAAAUGAAGUCAUGAGCGUUCCACCUGUGGCUUGAAAUUUAAGAACCUUUGCAUUGAAGGGAAGCUAUUCCAAGUGCUUAAUAGUGUUACUUGAGAAUAGAAAACAAGGGAUUAUCUGUAGUGUUGCAAGUUGGAAAAUGGCAAACUGUACUGAAGUAGUUUCUGCACUGUAUAUUUCUUGGUCCCACUGAAUAUGGGUAGCCAAUUUCCCUAUUUCCUAGAGUUAAGUUUGGAGCAUGUUAUGUUAUGUGAAGUUUGUCUAUAUAUGUGCAGGUUAAAUACUCUCAAAUUGCUUUUAAACUUCUACCCAAGUAUCUAUAUGUUUAUUUUAUUUGCUGCAAUACGUUAGAGCUCACUGAAAAUAUUUGUUCUCACCUACAGCAAUGCGUUUCAGCCAAAUUUGGAAUUUUUAUUAUUGGGUGUUCUCAUCCGCAUAUAUUGAAGUACCGAGAAACAAGAAGCAGGUCGUUGGCUUUUAUUGACUUUCAUCUGCAUAUACUGAAGUAAGGGGAAACAAGAAGUGAAAGUUUGGGUACUUAUUUUUCCAUGAAGUUUUCUUUCAGAGCAUCGAGAGCGGAUGGAUAAGAAGGUGUUCAGUACAUGGGAUUGGAGAAAUAAGAAGAGAUGUAAUAUUCCUACACGUAAAUGUGCGACCUAAUUAUAAUUUCAGCCGCGAGGUUGGGUAGACUAGCAUCCUAAAGGUAUGGAGGUACCUCGCAGCUUUGUUGAUGACGGGAUGCAAGAUUACAUAUAAGUUUUGGACAUGGAGCCACAUCCAUUGCCAAUAAGAUCAUUUUUUGCAUGGAGUUAGAAAAGAACUUUCAGCUCAAGUCCUGAUUUUUGUAGGAGAGCUAUUUACGAAGCUAGAAGUUUGUCACGUCGAGGGUGUGGAGCUGGUGGUCGGUGGAAUGCCUUGCUGGAUUGAGGUAUAUGCUGAUGAGAUUGGACCAGGGGGAUGCUAUCAGGAAGGCGUCUAUUUCUUAGAUGAUCUGGCUUAUAAAAUUAUGUUAUUGAAGAACAUUGGUGAAGAACUGUGAAGAUGCACCCUAUGUUGGCUUAUUUGGUUUGCCUCGGUUAAAAGAGCACCAGCGUCACCUUUGAGAGCUGCAGCAGCCGUCCACAGAUGACACUUAUUUCCGAAAACAGAUGGAAGCGGCAUGCUGUGAGAAGGCCUAGGUGAUAUCUGCCGAGUCGAAACACAGGUCAUGGUACAACAAAGCCCACUGACGUAUCCAAUUGCAUGUUCAUCAUGCUAUCCCUGCACUGUUAAUGUCCGCUUUUGGGCUAUUUGUGUUGCUAGGAGCCAUACAAUCAUGUGUCCACCAAAGUGGUUUUGCUUUAGAACUCUUGGAUCCUUUUACUACGAAUAUAUUUUUGUACCAUGCACACAAUUGCUGAUUGAAAAAGUAAAACGUAAUUUAUCAAUAUAAUGACUAUCAUGAGACUAAAUUAGCCAUGACAUGUAUGGAGUUUUGAAAUUUAAAAAAUUUCCUUGCAUCUUCUUUUCUUCUCUACUGCCUGGAAUGUGAGCAAAUAUAUCAUGUUGAUUGCUCAAUCAUACUUUUGAGUUUUCAUCUGUACACAUUAUACAAUUUUGUUCUCAAAACUGUAGAUUGAGUAUAUGAGAUAUUCUGCACCAAGCCUGAUCUUUAUUCGCAUUUGGAAAUAUAUCUGAUUCAGGGAUUGAUGCCGUCAUACUUGAAUAUAUUGUUGCUCUUAAUAUGAAAUUUCUGCAUAGCUUAUAAUUUGAUCAUAUGACUCCCUACUGUCCAGUUAUGCACAUUAAGUUUUAUAUGCUUAUACUAAGUUUUAUAUGCAUAUACUUUCAUAAUUGCCCAUUCAGUUAACAUUAGAUGCUUCAGUUGGAUUUUGUCGUUGCAUUGAUUGA